CAGCGCCACGGUAAUACAGAGGGUGCGAGCGUUAAUCGGAUUUACUGGGCGUAAAGCGUGCGUAGGCGGCUUCUUAAGUCGGAUGUGAAAUCCCUGAGCUUAACUUAGGAAUUGCAUUCGAUACUGGGAAGCUAGAGUAUGGGAGAGGAUGGUAGAAUUCCAGGUGUAGCGGUGAAAUGCGUAGAGAUCUGGAGGAAUACCGAUGGCGAAGGCAGCCAUCUGGCCUAAUACUGACGCUGAGGUACGAAAGCAUGGGGAGCAAACAGGAUUAGAUACCCCCGUAGUCCCUGUCUCUUAUACA
rnacentral:rRNA from 1 species